UACAGGGGGGGCAAGCGUUGUUCGGAAUUACUGGGCGUAAAGGGCGCGUAGGCGGCCUGCUAAGUCGAACGUGAAAUCCCCGGGCUCAACCCGGGAACUGCGUCCGAUACUGGCAGGCUUGAAUCCGGGAGAGGGAUGUGGAAUUCCAGGUGUAGCGGUGAAAUGCGUAGAUAUCUGGAGGAACACCGGUGGCGAAGGCGGCAUCCUGGACCGGCAUUGACGCUGAGGCGCGAAAGCCAGGGGAGCAAACGGG
rnacentral:rRNA from 1 species